rnacentral:rRNA from 1 species
CAGUCGCCACGGUAAUACGUAGGUGGCAAGCGUUGUCCGGAAUUAUUGGGCGUAAAGGGCUCGCAGGCGGUUUCUUAAGUCUGAUGUGAAAGCCCCCGGCUCAACCGGGGAGGGUCAUUGGAAACUGGGAAACCUGAGUGCAGAAGAGGAGAGUGGAAUUCCACGUGUAGCGGUGAAAUGCGUAGAGAUGUGGAGGAACACCAGUGGCGAAGGCGACUCUCUGGUCUGUAACUGACGCUGAGGAGCGAAAGCGUGGGGAGCGAACAGGAUUAGAUACCCCUGUAGUCCCUGUCUCUUAUAC